UUGCUACUGGUCAAUGUGGCCAGCGCAAUUACUAUUGAAAGAGCUGAGAACAAGUACAGGUCACCUUAUGCUUUGUCACCUAAAAACGCAUACCUGAUGGCUUUAUGAAGGUGGUACGUUAAUAUUAAGUUUACAGAAAGCGAUCGCUAAGUCCGUGACUUAUGUAAAUCACGAUGUACGCAUUCAUGCAAUAAAGGAUGACGCGAAUUUCGGUUUCGAAUCUGUUUUUUGGAUGCGUAGUAGUUUCGUUUGACAUGCGAUCGCGCGUCGACAUCGGACGCUAUGACACACUCGUGCCUUAUGUGCCACCGAAGCCCCGAAGUGGUCUGGCAUAUACCUUCACAUGUAAGUAAACGAAUUUAUCUCCUUGUUGAGAAUAUCACGCGAGUAGGCAGCUCUUGUGGUACAUCACAAUCGUUCGAGAAGCGUCACAGUAGAGCAUUUUUCUGCAUGCGGAGCGGUGUUUUUAUUUGCAGGUUUCCCUUCAGUAGGAAAUUGCUGGACAGGCGGACCAGCGCACCGGAAUUGUACUGGCGAAGCCACAAGCAACUCAAAGAAUCUGUUUAAUUGUUGCACUUUGAACAAUCAUGCUUCUACAAAGGCCACAGCAGAAAAACAGCCUGAUGACCGAGUAUUUCUGUGCCACGAAGUAAUCAAGAGGCGAGUGCCUAAUGCGGACGAAAUAGAGUGCAUCGAGACUUAGAACGACAGAAAGCUGAGCUAGUUCGUAAGGAUUCAUUAUGCAAAACAGAGGUGAGGCGUGCAGACAGGACACAAGAGUAGAGAAGUGGGCGGCGCGCGUGUUGUUUGCUUGUAAAUACUCUACUCUUGUUUCCUGUCUGCACGCCUCACCUCCGUUUUGCAUAACGAGUGCAUCAAGCCACAUAUUAAUAGCUUAGGCGUUUUAUUAACUGUGCAAUAUUUUCAACACUUCCUUGCAUGCCAUUUCAUGUGGCAUAUCUUUUCUGGUCACAAAUUUGUGCAGCGAAUCUAUUUGCAUGAUCGACUCCGGGCCUGUGGGACCGUUCACUUGCACUUGAUGCUGAGUCUUUUACAUGUACCCAUAAACUGCAGAUAUGCACAUCAGAUCCCUGCGAGCACUUUCAAAAUUCAAUUAUUUUCGACAACAGGCACAUAUGCAAUACUGACAUAAUCCGGAAUACCACUAAGCAGCUGGGACACAUUUUUGUUGACCAUACUCGCAGGUAAAAUAAGUACAUCAUGUGGACAGCUCCAGCUCAUUUUCCUUAAGUCAGUGUGUACAAGGGUUAUGCAAAAAUAAUUUUUUUCUCGCGCACCGAUUAUUUUGCUUUAUAAGCAAGAGAACCCACCACGUUAGUGUAACGUAUCUUGUGCAUCACACUAAUAUGUGCUUUCAUUUACCAAGUGAGAUGAGUUACUUUUAUGGCUCAUUCAGUCAUAUCACACUGCAAGCUGCAUUCAUCAAUCUUCAAUGGGAUUUUGCAAAUGUUUAAUGAAACAUGUUUCCCUUUUAUGCAGAUAUGCAAUGGCAAGCCCUUCCGUGUGUUCCAAAGACAAUGCCUACGCCUAGCCACAGCAGCUCCCUCAUACAGACUCCGCAAACCAAGAGGCCGUGGAGGCAAAUGCAGGUAAGAGGCAAUAAGCAAUAGCACUGGUAUCGACAUUCAUCUAAUUUCUUUUUAUUUCGUUUAGGCAGCCAGCACACCUCGAACAGCCACCUUGACUGCGGGUGUGUCACCCUAGUCGCCAAGGAAACAUUUGAGGGAAAGUGACAGGCAAUGUGAACAGCCACUCCUCCAUGUAAACAAUACUCUUUCUCUCGGAUGACUCCUACGCCUCACCACGCCAGCACACUUGUGCACAAAGAUGCCGCAGAGGCACGUGCAGGUCAGAGGCAAGAAGCAGUGGCACUGGUGUCGACAUUUACCCAAUUUCUUUUUCUUACACUGAGGCAGCCAGCACACCUCGAACAGCCACCUCGACUGCGGGUGUGUUAGUUGAUCCCUGUUGUACAUAUGCUCAUAAUAAACUUCAGUAAACUUGAACUUCAUAAUAAACUUGAAGGCAAAUGGUA